rnacentral:rRNA from 1 species
UGGGGAAUAUUGGGCAAUGGGCGCAAGCCUGACCCAGCAAUGCCGCGUGAAGGAAGAAGGCCCUCGGGUUGUAAACUUCUUUUAUCAGGGACGAAGGAUGUGACGGUACCUGAUGAAUAAGCUCCGGCUAACUACGUGCCAGCAGCCGCGGUAAUACGUAGGGAGCAAGCGUUAUCCGGAUUUACUGGGUGUAAAGGGCGCGUAGGCGGGAUGGCAAGUCAGAUGUGAAAUCCAAGGGCUCAACUCUUGAACUGCAUUUGAAACUGUCGUUCUUGAGUACUGGAGAGGUUGACGGAAUUCCUAGUGUAGCGGUGAAAUGCGUAGAUAUUAGGAGGAACACCAGUGGCGAAGGCGGUCAACUGGACAGCAACUGACGCUGAGGCGCGAAAGCGUGGGGAGCAAACAGGAUUAGAUACCC